rnacentral:tRNA from 1 species
GGAUGCAUAGCUCAAUCGGCAGAGCGCAGGGCUUUGACCCCUGAGGCUGGAGGUUCGAGCCCUCCCGCAUCCA